AAAUAAUUCCUAUAAAACCAAAGCCAAUCAACAAACAAGUAAUAUAAGUAUAGAACAGGCAACGCUUAGAAACUUAGAAGAAAAAAGAAGAAAAAAAAACUUACAAAUUUCAAUAUUUUCAAUGGUCACUUUUACUCCGGGUGAGAGAAACACGUAUCAGUUGAUCGCGGCUUAAUUAGAAAACCACCAUUUCUUAUAUGGUGUGGUUGUUCUUUUUGCUCGACCCUAUGAUACAUGUCGCUCUCACCUGGUGCAAAGCUGCCCAAUGCUUUCACAACACCAUGAAAGAAUUAAGAAGCUGCCAUCAAAUUCAUUAUCUUGGCCUUUCCUCUAAUUUGUUUAAAUUGUAAAGGGAUCAGUAAUCCAAAUUUGGUGAUGAGUGGUGAGGGUCUUGGUCUCCUAAAGUAUGUGGUCAGAAGUUCAAUUUUUGGCUCAUGUGUAUGGAGAAAAUUCGGUUGAGAGGGGAGAACCCACCUUGUGUGCCCUAGAGGUUCCCCAACGGAGAUUGGUCAUUCCUAAUUGCAGUGAAACAAAAAUCCUCAUGGUUGAACUUUCAUUUUCGUAGAACUAGAACAAGACCGAAACAAAACCCUCAUCUUUCUCACAUAUAUUUCAUCGGUUAAUUUCAUUUGCUCCUCUUAUUUUUACACCCUCCAGUCUUUUUUUUUAAGGAACACCUUUAAAAAAUCACACAGAUCAACGAAGCUUAUUUUUCACAUUAAUAAUUGGACGGGACAAGGAUCCAAACCAUUUGUCGUGCCCCAAUAGAGCAAAGCCCAAUAAAUUCUAGUCCAUGAAGUUCAAAUUACAUGAAGGCGGAAACAGCAGUGUUUGGC